GGGUUGUGAGGUUAAGCGACCAAGCGUACACGGUGGAUGCCCUGGCAGUCAGAGGCGAUGAAGGACGUGCUAAUCUGCGAAAAGCGCCGGUAAGGUGAUAUGAACCGUUAUAACCGGCGAUGUCCGAAUGGGGAAACCCAGUGUGACUCGUCACACUAUCAUUAACUGAAUCCAUAGGUUAAUGAGGCGAACCGGGGGAACUGAAACAUCUAAGUACCCCGAGGAAAAGAAAUCAACCGAGAUUCCCCCAGUAGCGGCGAGCGAACGGGGAGGAGCCCAGAGCCUGAAUCAGCAUGUGUGUUAGUGGAAGCGUCUGGAAAGGCGCGCGAUACAGGGUGAGAGCCCCGUACACAAAAGCGCACGUGCUGUGAGCUCGAUGAGUAGGGCGGGACACGUGGUAUCCUGUCUGAAUAUGGGGGGACCAUCCUCCAAGGCUAAAUACUCCUGACUGACCGAUAGUGAACCAGUACCGUGAGGGAAAGGCGAAAAGAACCCCGGCGAGGGGAGUGAAACAGAACCUGAAACCGUGUACGUACAAGCAGUGGGAGCCCCACCACUAAGCCAGUGGUGAACUCCACAUACGCAUCCUUUGCUGAGGAUACGGUUAACGGAGCGAAAGCGACGUUCAGCCGCAAAAGAAGCAGAGGGGGCUUAGUGGUGGGGUGACUGCGUACCUUUUGUAUAAUGGGUCAGCGACUUAUAUUCUGUAGCAAGGUUAACCGCAUAGGGGAGCCGGAGGGAAACCGAGUCUUAAUUGGGCGUUAAGUUGCAGGGUAUAGACCCGAAACCCGGUGAUCUAGCCAUGGGCAGGUUGAAGGUUGGGUAACACUAACUGGAGGACCGAACCGACUAAUGUUGAAAAAUUAGCGGAUGACCUGUGGCUGGGGGUGAAAGGCCAAUCAAACCGGGAGAUAGCUGGUUCUCCCCGAAAGCUAUUUAGGUAGCGCCUCGUGAAUUCAUCUCCGGGGGUAGAGCACUGUUUCGGCCAGGGGGCCAUCCCGGCUUACCAAUCCGAUGCAAACUGCGAAUACCGGAGAAUGUUAUCACGGGAGACACACGGCGGGUGCUAACGUCCGUCGUGAAGAGGGAAACAACCCAGACCGCCAGCUAAGGUCCCAAAGUCAUGGUUAAGUGGGAAACGAUGUGGGAAGGCCCAGACAGCCAGGAUGUUGGCUUAGAAGCAGCCAUCAUUUAAAGAAAGCGUAAUAGCUCACUGGUCGAGUCGGCCUGCGCGGAAGAUGUAACGGGGCUAAACCAUGCACCGAAGCUGCGGCAGCGAACGUAUCACCCAAGACAACUUUACACAGUUGACGACUGACGGAGCGAAGCGACGUCAAAGCGUUUUACAACGUCGAGUUGGCUUAGGGAUACGUUCGUUGGGUAGGGGAGCGUUCUGUAAGCCGUUGAAGGUGUGUCGUGAGGCAUGCUGGAGGUAUCAGAAGUGCGAAUGCUGACAUAAGUAACGAUAAAGCGGGUGAAAAGCCCGCUCGCCGGAAGACCAAGGGUUCCUGUCCAACGUUAAUCGGGGCAGGGUGAGUCGACCCCUAAGGCGAGGCCGAAAGGCGUAGUCGAUGGGAAACGGGUUAAUAUUCCCGUACUUGGUGUUACUGCGAAGGGGGGACGGAGAAGGCUAUGUUGGCCGGGCGACGGUUGUCCCGGUUUAAGCGUGCAGGUGUGUGUUCCAGGUAAAUCCGGUUCACUUUAACACUGAGGCGUGAUGACGAGGCACCACGGUGCUGAAGCAACAAAUGCCCUGCUUCCAGGAAAAGCCUCUAAGCCUCAGGUAACAUCAAAUCGUACCCCAAACCGACACAGGUGGUCAGGUAGAGAAUACCAAGGCGCUUGAGAGAACUCGGGUGAAGGAACUAGGCAAAAUGGUGCCGUAACUUCGGGAGAAGGCACGCUGACACGUAGGUGAAGUGGUUUACCCAUGGAGCUGAAGUCAGUCGAAGAUACCAGCUGGCUGCAACUGUUUAUUAAAAACACAGCACUGUGCAAACACGAAAGUGGACGUAUACGGUGUGACGCCUGCCCGGUGCCGGAAGGUUAAUUGAUGGGGUCAGCGCAAGCGAAGCUCCUGAUCGAAGCCCCGGUAAACGGCGGCCGUAACUAUAACGGUCCUAAGGUAGCGAAAUUCCUUGUCGGGUAAGUUCCGACCUGCACGAAUGGCGUAAUGAUGGCCAGGCUGUCUCCACCCGGGACUCAGUGAAAUUGAACUCGCUGUGAAGAUGCAGUGUACCCGCGGCAAGACGGAAAGACCCCGUGAACCUUUACUAUAGCUUGACACUGAACACUGGUCCUUGAUGUGCAGGAUAGGUGGGAGGCUUUGAAGUGUGGACGCCAGUCUGCAUGGAGCCAUCCUUGAAAUACCACCCUUUAAUGGCUGGUGUUCUAACGUGGGCCCGUGAACCGGGUUGCGGACAGUGUCUGGUGGGUAGUUUGACUGGGGCGGUCUCCUCCUAAAGAGUAACGGAGGAGCACGAAGGUUGGCUAAUCCUGGUCGGACAUCAGGAGGUUAGUGCAAUGGCAUAAGCCAGCUUGACUGCGAGCGUGACGGCGCGAGCAGGUGCGAAAGCAGGUCAUAGUGAUCCGGUGGUUCUGAAUGGAAGGGCCAUCGCUCAACGGAUAAAAGGUACUCCGGGGAUAACAGGCUGAUACCGCCCAAGAGUUCAUAUCGACGGCGGUGUUUGGCACCUCGAUGUCGGCUCAUCACAUCCUGGGGCUGAAGUAGGUCCCAAGGGUAUGGCUGUUCGCCAUUUAAAGUGGUACGCGAGCUGGGUUUAGAACGUCGUGAGACAGUUCGGUCCCUAUCUGCCGUGGGCGCUGGAAGAUUGAGGGGGCUGCUCCUAGUACGAGAGGACCGGAGUGGACGCAUCACUGGUGUUCGGGUUGUCAUGCCAAUGGCACUGCCCGGUAGCUACAUGCGGAAGAGAUAAGUGCUGAAAGCAUCUAAGCACGAAACUUGCCCCGAGAUGAAUCUUCCCUGAGCCUUUAAGGCUCCUGAAGGAACGUUGAAGACGACGACGUUGAUAGGCCGGGUGUGUAAGCGCAGCGAUGCGUUGAGCUAACCGGUACUAAUGAACCGUGAGGCUUAACCUUACAACGCCGAAG
rnacentral:rRNA from 2 species